rnacentral:lncRNA from 1 species
GUUUACCAUGAGCGGACGCAGGAGCCUUGCCAAGGCCGAGGCCUCCACAGGUAAGGGGAGUCUGAAAGCAUGGGGACCUGGGGUCGGAAGGAGCUGUAGGAGAAGGGAUCCCUCCAUCAGACUCCAGGCCCCCAGCAGCACCCCUGAAGAAAGUUCACCUGCCCCCCCGGGACAGAGCAAUGUCCCCUGGGACAUCAUGGUCUUGGUGUACCAUAACUGCAUCCCUUUGGGAGAAAAGACUGUCCCUUCCCACUCGCCUCUUCCCUGAUGUCCUAUUCUAGUGAUUUGGGGAUGGUCACUUCCGGACUAUUGAGCUGCCCCUCUGGGGAAUGAGACACUUGCUAGAUUCCCCCUCUUUCGGGCAGCCCUCCCAGAUCACCUUGGAGCCCUCUUCUUGAUGGGUCUGCAGUGGGGGCCGCGGUGCAGGUGGGAACUGGCAAAGAGGGAGAAGCCUCAACAUCACUUUGCGCUGGGCUGGGGGUGGGGCUGCCCGCUGUCUUCUCACGGGGGACCCUGGGGGCUGUUUGCUCUGGGAGCAGCUUUAGAACAAAGGAGUAGAGUGCACAAGUACCUGGUUUUCCUGGUUUUGCAGCUUUAGCAAUUCCAGGGCAACAGGAAAGUCCCUGUCCAUAUCCUGGGCCUGCAGCCGGGCUCCUUACGCUCCUUACGGUCCAGCGCGCACACAGGUCUCUGGGAUUUUGCCUGAGAUUCUGCAUCUCUAACAAUUUCCCAGCUGAGGCCUGUGCUGCGGGUCUGGGGACCACACUUUGAGAAGCAAAGCUUUAGAUAAUGUUGAGGGGCGUUCUGGGAAGAACGGUAUUACCUCAAUCCCUAAAAUCAUAGUGGCUUAAACAAGUUAGAAUUUCCUUCUCUCCAUGGUCAGAAAGACCAAGGGUGAGCUUUUCAAGGCUGGUAGGCCAGCUGCGCAAAGGUUAGGGUCCCAGGUUCCUUCUCUCCUGUUGUUUUGUCCUCCUUAACAUGAAGUAAAGUUACUUUCUCAGGGUCACACAGCCAAGAUGUGGCAGAACUACUGUUUGAACCCACAUCUUCUGGCUUUAAAUCCCAUGGUCUCGGGGCGCCUGGGUGGCUCAGUCAGUUAAGUGUCAGACUUCGGCUCAGGUCAUGAUCUUGAGGUUUGUGAGUUCAAGCCCUGCGUCGGGCUCGGGCUCUGUGUUGACAGCUCAGAGCCUGGAGCCUGCUUGGAUUCUGUGUCUCCCUCUCUCUCUGUACCUCCCCCGCUCAUGCUCUGUCUCUCUCUCAAAAAUAAAUAUUUAAAAAAAUAAUUUAAAAAAGUCCCAUGGUCUCUGCUCAACCUUGUGUGAUGAGUGAUGGGCGGCCAUCUAGGACAUGCAUCCAGUAGGAGUUCGUGGUCGUGGGGCAUCAGGAGCAGGUGACUGUCAGGGAUCCAGGCAGUGCCAGCAAGGCCUCUGAUCAGAUGAGCAAUGGCUGGGUCCCAGGGACAGGGUGGGGACCCUGGGGAUACUGGGGACUACCACAGUGUGUGUGGUGGGGGGAGUGGUAGUCAGAGAAACUGGGACUCCAGGCAGGGAUGGAAAUAGUGACCUCUCCCUGCCAUCAUCCCUGCUCUGACUAGCAUCACCACAGGAUCGUAGUACUCUUUGUUUUGCUUUUAAUCACAAAUUUUGAAAUAUUUGAAACAUAUGGAAAAAUACAGAAAAUGAUGUAACAAAUAUCUAUACUCUAACAAAGUUAUUUGUUUGAAAUAUUUUGACUUAUUCUGUAUAAUAUGUAUAUAUUUUUUUUUUUAAUUUUUUUUCAACGUUUAUUUAUUUUUUGGGGACACAGAGAGACAGAGCAUGAACGGGGGAGGGGCAGAGAGAGAGGGAGACACAGAAUCGGAAACAGGCUCCAGGCUCUGAGCCAUCAGCCCAGAGCCUGACGCGGGGCUCGAACUCACGGACCGCGAGAUUGUGACCUGGCUGAAGUCGGACGCCCAACCGACUGCGCCACCCAGGCGCCCCAUAUAAUAUGUAUAUAUUUUAAUUAAAACAUUUUUAAUGUUUAUUUAUUUGAGAGAGAGAGAGAGAGAGAGAGAGAGAACAUGAGCAGGGGGGAGGCAGAGAGAAAAAGAGACAGAAUUCCAAGCAGGCUCUGCACCAUCAGUUCAGAGCCUGAUGCAGGGCUCGAAAUCACAAACCGUGAGAUCAUGACCUGAGCUGAGAUCAAAAUUCAGACACUUAACCAACUGCACCACCCAGGUGCCCAUAUAUAUAUAUAUAUAUAUAUAUAUAUAUAUAUAUAAAGUCAUGGGAAAAAACUGAAGCCCACUCUUGACCUCCUUUCUCCUUUCUCUGAAGUAUUCUUUCCUUCCCAAACAUGCUUGACAACUUACCAAAUAAGUAUAUAUCUGCAAACAAUGUUGCUUUGUGUUAGAAAAUUCUGCAUGAAUGACAUCAUCACAUUGCAUAUCAUUUUGCCAGUCGCUUUAUCUCAACAUGAUGCUUCUGAGAUCUAUCAGUGCUGACUCGAACCCACUCCUUGUAAUCUGCGUGUCCUUUAUUUUCUGACGGCCACAAUUUAUUUACCUUCCUGCUAAGAAUAGUUGCUCGCAGGAGUUCAUGAUUGUAAUCUACGCCGCAGAGAACCUUCUUGAACAUGACUCCCUGGACACACAACACAGAGUUUCUCUGCGGUUGUCAUCUGGAGGUAAAAAUUUGGGGUCGUGAUGUUUAUACAUCUUCAGCUUUACUGAGAAUCAUCCAACUAUUCUCCAAAGUGGUAGCACGAAUUUACGCUCCCACCACCAACUACAAUUUCUGUCUCUUCACGUGCUCCGCGAGGUGUAUCAGUCUUUGCCGGCCUGUUGGGUGCAAACUGUUGUUUUCUUCUUGUUUGAAUUUGCAUUUCCUUCGUUACUAGUUAGCCUGAACAACUUUUCAUGUGGACUGGCCAUUGGUAGUUUCUUUCUUUGCAAGGCCUGUUUAGAUCUUUGGCCUAUCUUUCUUUUGGGCUAUUUAUCGUUUUCUUACUGGCGUGUAGGUGUCCUGGAUAUCUUUUGUUGGUUACGCUGAUUGCAGACAUUGUUACAGCCCUCCGGUCAUCUGAUCCUGGACAGGGACUGAGGAUCAGUGCCGGGAUGGAUUAGUGAUGUCUGCCACAGGUGUGGGAGGGGAAGCCGCAAGGGCUUUGGGUUAAGGCAACAAUGUGGAGGCCAGGUUAUUAGAGAAGGGCCAUUGAGGAAACUCCAUCACAAGCAGAAGGCUCAGUAAUGAGGCCAGAGCAGGUCUAGGCAAGUCAAGCCAGCAGGUGAGGCCCAGGUCACCAAGGCAAACCUCUAAAUCUUUCUGAGAGACCUCUGAGAAGCCCAUGGCUAGAAUUUCUCUAGCCCCUUAGAACUUCUCUCAUUGAAUUGAAUUGGAUACAUGUAUCCUUCACUAAGGGAGACUGCGGGGAGAGUGUCACAACAGAUAUAUUGCUGUAUUUGUGAAAGGGAUAUUGUUGAGGAUGCUUUUUUUUAAAAAAAAUUUCUUUUUAACAUUUAUUCAUUUUUGAGAUUGAGAGAGGCAGAGAAUGAGCAGGGGAGGGGCAGAGAGAGACACACAAAAUCUGAAGCAGGCUCCAGGCUCAGCACAGAGCCUGACACGGGGCUUGAACUCACAGACCAUGAGAUCAUGACCUGAGCUGAAGUCGGACGCCCAAGUGACUGAGCUACCCAGGUGCCCCGAGGAUGCUUUUAUUACAUCACAUGAUGUUAUCUCAAAGAGGACCAGGGAAGAAAUCUCUCUCCCUGUUAGUACAGGAAUGGCCAGCUUUCUUCUGAAUAACCGUGUUGUAUUUAUGUUUUGUAUCUGAUGAUGUUAUUACUUCCCUUUUUGCUAUGGCCACCAGGAAACUCACAGCCCAAUCCUCCAGAGACCCAUGGAGUAACAGGGUACAAGAUUAAGGCCACUUUACCCCAAUUUUGCCUCUUAUUUGAUGCAACAAGUCUUGUUUUGCAUGAGUUUUGUUUUGUUUUGUUUGGUUAAUUAGAAUCCUUUUGAGAUGAGAUGGGGUAAAAAUAAUACCCCCCUCACUCUGCCACUGCUGUAUUGUCUUGGGGUAGAACAAGGCCAGGGACUUGGAAUGGGGGCUGGAGCUGAGAAUAGGUGAUGGGUGAGCUGCUGAGUAGUCCCAGAGAGAGAGGAGACAGGCCAUUACACAGCAGUGGGAGCUGUUUUCUAAAACACCUGGGCCUGAGCGGUGCCACAUUUCUGUGUUUUUCAACAUAAACUUAAAAUUGGCUUGGAGCCACUCCCUACCUGGCUGGCAGAACAACUGGCAGGGGCUAUUAUUGAGUCUCUAUCUCUGUUAUAUCAGCUCAUGUGAGAAUCUGGAGUUUCCCUGGUCCUUGUCCUUGUCCUUGUCCCUGUUGCCGUGGGGCCUGGUUCUUGACCACAUUAGGCACUGCUCCUCUGAGAGGGUCUUGACCACAGAGCCUGUGGCCGCUGUUUGCAAUGCCCUGUCCUGUCCUGCUCUGGAGUUCCACGACAUGCACGCCUUUGUUCUGGACAAAGUAUGUUUGUAUAUUGAACCGUCUUGGAAGAUGGAGAUACUAUCUCUCUUCAGAGCAGAGGGCAGGUUUGUUUACUGUCCCAUAUUGUCUCCUUCCAGGGCAAAGGUUGGGCAGAUUUGCUUGUAGUUCCUUAUAAAAGACUUGAGUUCGCUAAGCCUGGGGCUCCUCAGCUGUGAUGCAGACCCACUGUGUGGUGGCACCCACUUGGGCUGCUUCACAUCACCCCAUGGGACUUGUGGGGCAAGAGGAACAGCGCAGACAUGAAACUCACGAUGCCCGCUCUGUUUUAAGUAAUACAGUCCUUUGUCUCUGACCCAUGAGUCUCCUGUCUUCUGCCAGUCUCCAUGAAACGGUGGCAGGCUAGCUUGUUAGCUUGCAAGUAGGGCAAAGCCUCAGACUUUUCAUAGCCUUUCCCAGGGUCCUAAUAAGUACUACCUGUAGUGGCCCCAUGACAUGCCUUUUGGCUGCUUGAGCAUUAAAAAUGUUUUAGUUAUGGUAAGAGAAAUCCAUAUCACAUGAAAAUUAUCAUCUUAACCUUUCCAGCAUCUUUUGACCACAUUCCCUAAAUUUGGAGAGGCCUGCCUGCUCCAGGAAGAAAGCAGAACCAUGAGUCUUUCUCCCAGCUAGAGCUCAGCCUCCGCCAAUCAGAUGCUUGUGAGGGGCUGUGAAUGGCAAAAGGGUGGUAGGUGGGCAGGAGGGAGGCAGGCACCUUUCUUUUCUUUUUAAUGUUUACUUAUUUUGAGAGGGUAGGGAGAGCAGGGGAGGGGCAGAGAGAAAGAAAGAGAGAGAACCGCAAGCAGGCUCCAUGCUGUCAGCACAGAGCCUGACGUGGGACUCAAACUCAUGAACCUCCACAUCAUGACCUGAGCUGAAAUCAAGAGUUAGAUGCUUAACUGACUAAGCCAUCCAGGUGCUCCCUGGAAGUCCCUUUCUUGGUGAGGACAGUGGUGAGCUGGACUCUGGCUCUCAGGGAUGUGGUUGUAAGUGGCUGAGGUUCUGAUGCUCAGCCCCAGGGUCAGUGGAGUGACUUUGGGCGCCUCACCUGAGCUGGUCUGGACUCUACCUGUCAGCAUUCCCCCCAUGUUCCACAGCUGUCCACACUUCCUUCAUCCUUUCAUUUCUGCUCUUGGGCAGGGCGGCUUCCUAUUUGGAAGCCAAUAAACAAUGGCUUCCUCAUUGUAUAUUUGUGACUUCUCUUUUUCUUGGUCAAUCUCACCAAAGGUUUGCCAAUCUAAUUGGUCUUUUCACAGAACCAAUUUUGACCUCAUGGAUUUUCUCUCUCUUGCAUUGUUUUCUGUCUAUUAAUUUCUGCUCUUAUUUUUGUCAUUUCCUGAUUGCUGCUGUUUUUGAAUUUAUGUGGCUGUUCUCUCUGUAACUUGGACAGUUAAUGUGUUAUUUUCAGCCUUUCUUCUUUUUCAAGCUUUCAAUGUGUUAUGUUUUCCUCUUCUCAUUGUUUUCACUGUAUCCCCCGAGUUUUGAUUAGUUUUCAUCGUCUAUUGUAAAAUAUUUAAAAUUUACUGUUAAUUAUUUGACACAUAUGUUAUUCUUGAGUAUUGUUUUUCAAAAUCUUUUAUCAUGGAAAACAAAUACAUAAAAGAGAAGAGAAUAUAUAAUGAACCCCUAGGUACCUACAGCCAGGUCCAAUUGUGAACAUAUGGCCAUUCUAUUUUCAUCUAUAGUCCCAUGUGCUCUCCCAACUCAAACUUCGUUUAUUUUGAGAGUGUGUUUUAAAUGUAUGGAAAAUUUUUAUUUAUUUUUUUGGUUAAUGAGUAAUGAUGUAAUUACAUUGUGGUCAGAGACUACAGUCUUCAUGAUACUGAAUUAUUAAUGUUUCUUGAGACUUGUUCUAUGAUUAGCAUGUGGUCAUUUUGUGUGAAUAUUCUAUGUAUUCUUGAGUGUAUCUAUUUCAUGUGCAGGCUGGUAUACAUGUCCAUUAGAUCAAGUUUGUUAAUUCGGUCAUUCAAAUAUUCUAUACCCUUGCUGGAUUUUUUGUCUUCUUGAUUUGUUAAUGAUUGAAAAAGGUCUAUGAAGUGUUCUGUCAUGAUAGUGGAUUCUUUAAUUUCUCGUAUGGUUCUGUCCAUUUUUUUGCCCCAUAUAUUUGAAAGCUAAUUAGGUGUUUAGAGUUGUUAUAUCUUCGAACCAAUUUGACUUUUAUCAUUAUGUAAUGAUUUUCUGGAUCUCUGAUAAUGUAUGUUAUCUUAAAAGUGAUCUUGUCUGAUAUUAAUAAAAUUACACUAAGUUUUUUGUGGGGGGAUGUUAAUGUUUGCUUGCUAUAUUUUUUUCAUCCUUUUACUUUCAAACUUUCUUUGUCUUAUGCCUUAUAGGUGUCUUUUGUGAACAAUAUAUAGUGGGAUUUUUAAAAAUCCAUCUGUAGAUUAACAGAAUGUGCUGUUGAGCAAUAUAUUAAUGUCCUUCUUGAAUAAUGCAACCCUUUGACACUGGUUAUCCUCUCCUGCCUGACCUAAUUUUGUUCUGUACUUCAGGUCUGUCCUUUUUGAUUGGCCCCCUCAAACUCUACCUUAUUGUUAUUUUAUAGGGUAGGGUUUGUUUGAUUUUCCCCCCACAUGUUCCUCAUUUGAUUUGCUCACUGUUUCCUCAUGCAUUUCAGCCUCCUCUUCUGGGAUCAUUUCCCUUCCUCCUGAAGUACAUCCCUCAGUGUAGGUCUGAUGGUAUGCACUCUGGUUUCAUUUUGUUUGGAACUUUUGAACAAUUAUAACAUAUAACCCAUGUAUAGAAAGGUGCACAAGACAACAAUAGAAUAAUUAUAAAAUUAACACUAGACCCCCAAUAUGUUCCUUUUUAAAUCAUGCCUCAGUAACUAUCCUUUUAUGUUAAUCAUACCCUUGCUUUUCCUUAUAGUUCCACUGAUAUAUAAUCUGAUAUAACAGAGGUUAGUUUUUGCCUACUUCGGACUUUAUGCAGGUGGAACCAUACUGCACAUGUUCUUGUGUGUUUUUCUUUCAGCAUAUGAGAACUGUAUAUGAGUAUACAGUUCUAGGUUGUUGCAUGUAGGUACAACCCACUCAUUUUUAUUGUCAUAUUGUAUUUUACCAUAUAAUUGUUUAAAUGUUUAUUUAUUUUUGAGAGAGAGAGACAGUGCAAGCAGGAGAGGGGCAGAGAGAGAGGGAGACACAGAAUUCAAAGGAGGCUCCAGGCUCUGAGAUGUCAGCACAGAGCCUGAUGUGGGGCUUGAACUCGUGAACCGUGACAUCAUGACCUGAGCCGAAACCACAAGUCAGGUGCCUAACCAACUGAGCCACCCAGGCACUCUGGAAUGUGUACUUUCUUAGUGGAUUUAUGUUGUUCAUCACUUCUGGAGACUGCACAGUCAUUAUCUUUUUAAAUAUUUCAUUUCCUCCUUUUCUCUUUUCCUUCUUUCUGAGAUUCUGAUAAAUAUAUGUUAUAUUUUCUUACUCUGUCCUCCAUGUCUCUUAAAAUCUCUUUUAAACUCUUCAUUUUCUUGCCUCUCUGUGUGUGCUGUUUACCAGGUGAUUUCUUUGGUUAUAGCUUCAGCUCACUAAUUCUCUCUUCAACUGUCUCUAAUAUCUUUUCAGUAAGGUUUUUGAUUCCAACCUUUAUAUUGUUCAUUUCUCUUUUUUUUAAAUUUAUUUUUGAGAGAGAGAGGGAGAAAGAGUGGGGGAGGAGCAGAGAGAGAGGGAGACAGAGGACCUGAAGCGGGCUCUGCACUGACAGCAGAGAGCCCAACACGGGGCUUGAAUGCCUGAACCGUGAGAUCGUGACCUGAGCUGAAGUCAGAUACCUAACUACUGAACCACUUAGGCACCCCUAUUGUUCAUUUCUUGAAGUUCCAUCUUAAAACCCAUCUGUUCUUUCCUAGUUGUUUUUGUCGAGUGGCUUCUUUGUAACUGCAUGUUUUAUUUCAUAAAUGUAUGUUUUAUAUAUUUUUAUCUGAAAAUCCUUUGAUCUUCAGUCUUUAGGGAUCUAAACCUGGAGUUCAUUGUUUUUUGCUGACUCACAGACACAGUAACUUGCCUCCUCGUGUGCCUGCGAUCUUUGUGAGCUCAUUGUUGGUUUCAAAUUGGUAGGAAUCCUGUAGGUCUCGGUCGAGGAUUGGGGAUGCAGCCCUGCAGACGGCAUUUGCUUUUCCUCUUCUGCUGGUACCAGGAAGCACCAUGAUCUGGGGUUACUUCCUCUCGCCUUGAAUGAGGGACUCCAACACUCCCCUUCCCUGUUUUGGGCUUGGACCAAGCCUCAGUUUCCCAGUAACAGGAGGAAAUUUAUCUGGCUGCCUGCUGCCCCAGCCCUGGCCAGCCCCCGGUCCCUUAUCCCAGAGGGGGUGUGCUUAGGGACAUCCCCUAUCUCUUGUGAGAUCAGUUACAUUUCAAAUAAAUAUGUUUUUCAGAGUUCAGCUGUUCUCCUCAGCCAUGAUGCUAUAAUGCCAGAAGCAGAAGAUUCCUUAUAGUCUCUAACAAUUUCCUUUUUAUGUAAACCACCCCGUAUGGGUUCUGUUGCCUGCACUAAAGGCCACAUAUUAGGAGUGCUUUUCCCCUGGUAUAAAGUGGUCAUCUACCUUUUUGUCCACAAGAAGAGCAGCCCCCUCUUUUGGAGAACUAGUGGUUUCUAUCCCAGCCCAGUCACAUGCCCUGUAAUUACGGAACUCGGUCCCUCAGACUACAGGGUGGGUCACAUGACCCAAGAUCGCCAGUUAGAGUCCUUCCCCGGGGAUUUCUGAAUUUGAGUGGAGGCGAAGCUUCCUCCUCUUGGGGGCAUCAUAAGGGUGUGAGCUCAGUAAGGCUGCAGUCUUAUUUCCCACGCGUGGGGAUAAAGCCUGCAGAGAACGAAGCCAAGGUGCUGAGGGACAAAAGAAGAUGCAAGAGACAGUGGGAAUCAUGUUACUCUGUGCUAUCUGUGGUCUGACCACGUAAGCCAACACAUCUUCCCGUGCUGCUCAGGUUUUCUGCCUUUUACAUUCUAGCCUCUUACGUGGUGAGGUGAUAGAUGAUUAUUACUUUGUGUUCUGCCUUCUUGUGUUUUUUUUUUUUUUUUUCCAACAUUUUUUUAUUUAUUUUUGGGACAGAGAGAGACAGAGCAUGAACGGGGGAGGGGCAGAGAGAGAGGGAGACACAGAAUCGGAAACAGGCUCCAGGCUCCGAGCCAUCAGCCCAGAGCCUGACGCGGGGCUCGAACUCACGGACCGCGAGAUCGUGACCUGGCUGAAGUCGGACGCUUAACCGACUGCGCCACCCAGGCGCCCCUGCCUUCUUGUGUUUUAAAAAUGCCUUACCAUCUGGGGGCGCCUGGGUGGCUCAGUCGGUUAAGCGUCCGACUUUGGCUCAGGUCAUGAUCUCACAGUUGGUGAGUUCGAGCCCCGCAUCCCUGGAGCCCACUUCGGAUUCUGUGUCUCCCUCUCUCUCUCUUCCCCUCCCCCGCUCAUGCUCUAUCUCUCUCUGUCUCAGAAAUAAAUAAACAUUAAAAAAAAUUUUAAAAAUGGCACAAGAACAGACCUUCAGAUCAAUGGAAUUGAAUAGAGAAUCCAGAAGUGGACCCAUAAACGUAUGGGCAACUAAUCUUUGACAAAGCAGGAAAGAAUAUCCAAUGGAAUAAAGACAAUCUUUUCAGCAAGUGGUGCUGGGAAAAUUGGACAUGAAGCGACAUGAAGAACGAACCUGGACCACUUUCUUACACCAUACACAAAAAAUAAACUCAAAGUAGAUGAAAGACCUCAAUGUAAGACAGGAAGCCAUCCAAAUCCUCGAGGAGAAAGCAGGCAAAAACCUCUUUGAUCUUGCCUGCAGCAAUUUCUUACUCAACAUUGUCUCCGGAGGCAAGGGAAACAAAAGCAAAAAUGAACUACUGGGACCUCAUCAAAAUAAAAAGCUUCUGCCCAGCGAAGGAAACAAUCAGCAAAACUAAAAGGCAACCGACAGAAUGGGAGAAGAUAUUUGCAAACGACAUAUCAGAUAAAGGGUUAGUAUCCAAAAUGUAUAAACAACCUACCAAACUCAACACCCAAAAAACAAAUAAUCCAGUGAAGAAAUGGGCAAAAGACAUGAAUAAACUCUUCUCCAAAGAAGACAUCCAGAUGGCCAACCGACACAUGAAAAAAUGCUCAACAUCACUCAUCAUCAGGGAAAUGCAAAUCAAAACCACAAUGAGAUACCACCUUACACCUGUCAGAAUGGCCAACAUUAACAACUCAGGCAACAACAGAUGUUGGCGAGGAUGCGGAGAAAGAGGAUCUCUUUUGCAUUGUUGGUGGGAAUGCAAGCUGGUGCAGCCACUCUGGAAAAUGGUAUGGAGGGUCCUCAAAAACUGAAAAUGGAACUACCCUACGACCCAGCAAUUGCACUACUAGGCAUUUAUCCAAGGGAUACAGGUGUGCUGUUUCGAAGGGACACAUGCACCCCCAUGUUUAUAGCAGCACUAUCAACAAUAGGCAAAGUAUGGAAAGAGCCCAAAUGUCCAUCGAUGGAUGAAUGGAUAAAGAAGAUGUGGUAUAUAUAUACAAUGAAGUAUUACUCAGCAAUCAAAAAGAAUGCAAUCUUGCCAUUUGCAACUACGUGGAUGGAACUGGAGGGUAUGAUGCUAAGUGAAAUCAGUCAGUCAGAGAAAGACAAAAAUCAUAUGACUUCACUCAUAUGAGGACUUUAAGAGACAAAACAGAUGAACAUAAAGGAAGGGAAACAAAAAUAUAAAAACAGGGAGGGGGACAAAACAAAAGAGAUUCAUAAAUAUGGAGAACAAACUGAGGGUUGCUGGAGGGGUUGUGGGAGGGGGGGAUGGGCUAAAUGGGUAAGGGGCAUUGAGGAAUCUACUGAAAUCAUUCCUUCACUACAUACUAACUAAUUUGGAUGUAAAUUUUAAAAAAUAAAAAAAUAAAGUUAAAUUACAAUGUUAAAAUAAAAUUUAAAAAAUUAAAAAAACGCUUUACCAUCUAGAUAUUUUAAAAAAUAAAACAGCUUUAUUAUUAUUAUUAUUAUUGUUAUUAUUAUUAUUAUUAUUGUUAUUAUUUUAAGUAGGCUUCAUGCCUAGCAUGCAGCCCAGUGUGGGGCUUGAACUCACGACAGUGAGAUCAAGACCUAAGCUGAGACCAAGAGUUGGAUGCUUAGUCAACUGAGCCACCCAGGUGCCCCCUAAACAAAGGUAUUAUUAAAAAAAUCCUUGGGGGUGCCUGGGUGGCUCAGUCAGUUGAGCACCAGACUUUGGCUCAGGUCGUGAUCUCACGGUUCAUGGGUUUGAGCCCCACAUCGGGGUCUGUGCUGACAGCUCAGAGCCUGGAGCCUGUUUCAGAUUCUGUGUCCCCCUCUCUCUCUGCCCCUCCCCCACUCACACUCUGUCUCUUUCUCUCUCUCUCAAAAAUAAAUACACAUUAAAAAAAUUAAAAAAGAAAAACCCUUGCAUUCACUUUUUUGGUGAAGCAAAUAACCUCACCCUAAUUGGUUUUUGUGAAAUGAAAUCUCCACAGGUUAGAUUCAGCUAAAGCAAGGACCCGUCCAGUGGGCAAGGACUCGCGUGUCCAUUCUGUUAAUGGUGAGUGGGACACAUACCUUCCCCAAGAAAAGCAGCCUGGCCUUGGUGAUGCCAAGUGUCUGUGGUGGCCCUGAUGAUGGGGCAGUGGCUCUGGGGCUCCCCGCCCCUGGUGUCACCCCCUGGGGCCUCUGCCUGUGAGGCCUACACUCUGCCUGGAGUGUAACAUUUGAGGGGCUGUCUCAGUCGGCUGGUGUCCUCGGCACCCAGCACUAAACUGGCGAUAAUUUUUUUUUUUUCCCCACCCGGCCACCCGAGAAAUGUUUUGAUGAAGUGAGCUAAUCCAGACCUCAGAUUCUCAGUCAGGCAUCCCAUAUCCUUCUUUGACCGGUUCUGACACCAACAAGCCGUGUGGUCUCGAGCAAGCCUCAGUUUCCUCUUCUGCAACGUGGGCUUCAUGCUUGGUCUUCUGCAGGGUUGUAAGGAUUAGACAGAGUCCAGAGCCAACAUGGAAUGAAUUACGUUGACGGGGGAGGAGGAAGGCCUCGAUGGCGGGGGCUGACAACCUCGGGAUGGGAACGAGGAUGCUGAAAGGCACUUUUCUUGUUGCACUUAGGAAUCAGAGUUGGGACGAAGGAAGGAGGAGGCGUUUGGCUUCACAGUCUAGAGAAAGAAGACCCUACUGGGCUGCAGACUCCCCUCCAGGGGCUGUUGGAAAGCGGCUGGACCUCUUCUGCUUCUCCCUAGCCACCCUGCCACGCUGCCAGUUCCCAGUUACCAGCAGGGACUGUGCAGUCACUGAAACCAGCACCCUGGGGAGGCCCAGCUCUGGACACCAGCCACACAGAAAGGAGACGCCGACACCCCAAGGAGGUGAUUACGCCAGGGGGGCAGCGAAACACAGAGCCUCUCGUCUCUCCUCUCCCUCUCUUCCCACUCAGCCUUCCCCCG